UCUUUCACCUCACCGUGCGGGGUACGCAGGCACGCGGCUGUCCCCGUCCGCGUGGCCUCCAACUCGACUCGUUCCCUUUCCUUCCUUCUUCCCCUCGUCUCCCCAACCAGAAACCUAAACAGAAUCCCAACCCACCCCCGCAGCCAAUCCCACCGGACGCCAGUCAGCCAACCCCAAUCUCGACUCCUCCGCCGCCUGAAUCCGGUUCCGAGUCCAUAUUUGAGGUGCCACCAUGUUCAACAGGUUAUUUGGGAAGCCCAAGGAGCAGGCCAACGCCGGCGCGUUGGCCACUUUGGAUAAGUUAAACGAGACUCUUGAUAUGCUGGAGAAGAAAGAGAAAGUGUUAGAGAAAAAAGCAGGCGCUGAGCUUGAGAGGGCCAAGGAAUUCUCAAAAGCAAAGAAUAAAAGAGCGGCUAUCCAAUCAUUGAAGAGGAAAAAACUUUAUGAGCAGCAAAUUGAGCAGCUUGGGAAUUUCCAGUUGAGAAUCCAUGAUCAGAUGAUCAUGUUAGAAGCUGCUAAAGCUACAACAGAGACUGUUGAUGCAUUGAGGACUGGAGCUAAAGCUAUGAAAGCGAUGCAAAAAGCAACAAAUAUCGAUGAUGUCGACAAGACUAUGGACGAAAUUAAUGAACAGACAGAAAACAUGAAACAAAUACAAGAUGCUCUGUCAGCUCCUCUUGGAGCUUCUGCUGAUUUUGACGAGGAUGAACUGGAAGCGGAGCUGGAAGAGUUGGAGGGAGCAGAGUUGGAAUCCCAACUACUGGAGCCUGUUGUAACUAUUCCUAUUCAUACGACGCCCGUCCCAGGCAAGGCGCAACCAACUCGCCCUGCUCCACAGAAAGCAUCGGCUGAGGAGGAUGAGCUUGCUGCACUGCAAGCUGAAAUGGCAUUGUGAUCAGCUGCAACGGCUCUGGCUGGAAGGAGCAACUGUAGCUGCUAGCUGCAGCUGAAAGGCCCCCAGUGAAUGAAGAGGUGAAAUGUACAAAUGAUUGGCUGGACGGUACGCUGUCGCAGGCGAGUCCUGGCUACACAUAUAUUUGCCCGUGUGUAUAAUCUUUGGUGGGAGACAUUUGGCGAACAGAGGCAGGAAAGGCUGCUCCAGUCCAGUGUUUAUCUAGUUGUUUGAUUGAAGGUCUGUUUCCCGGACAUAAUUUUUGGCACGGUCAGCUCCAUUCCAGGUCGUGUGCAAUGCUCAUUGUUGUGGCACACUAUUUACUGUUGACCCGUAUUAUCUCUUGCCAUGUAAACCAAGUUAUCUCAUUCCAGUGUUUGCUAA